AAUAAAUGAAGCGCUACUGGAGGCAAAUUAAAAUAUCUCCCUCAGCAAAAAUGAGACUCUCGCUCAUGAUGAAAGCAUGUUUAUAGUUUUUUCUUUGAGAUUGCAAACAUCACCGACAUAGUCAUAUUCUAAAGCAUCAUCAACGCCAUCACCAAAUUCAAUGCCAUCAACACCAUCAGCGACUAGUAACAAUGUUAUACCACAGAUUUAUGGCGAAUUA